rnacentral:lncRNA from 1 species
AAAAAAAAAGAAGCGUUUUCAUAUAGGAGAGACGUAUCCGAGACGUUUAGGGUUUUGCUGUUCCUCUAGUAGUAGCAACUGAGCUUUGAUUUAUGAUUUUUUUUUUUUUUUUUCUUGGUUUGAAGUCGAUUUUAUUUGGUUUAGUUUGACAUUUAGUUGGUCCAAUAAUUGGUAAACCAUUUGACAUUUUAGUUGGUCCAAUUGUCUUUUUAUUUCUUUUUUUCCUUUGUUUAUGUUUGAAAAAAAAAUAUUGUAUUGAAUUGGUAAGAAAGCGAUGGAUGUGAUCACACAUGGGUGUUUUUGUAUUCAGAACCUCCUCUUCCUAAGCUUGCACUCGCUCGUCUAAGAUAUUGCACAAACUCUUCUUUGCUUUUAUUCUUCAAUCUAUCAUAUCAUUCAAAAUUAAAAUAUCAUAUAUAGUUUAUUAUAGUGUCAAAAAUCAAAACAACAUAUAUAUAUAUAUAUAUUGGCUUGUGUAGUGUAUGACAAGUACGUCAAAGCAAAAGCGUUAUGCAAAUUGCUGUCUUGCAUUUGACCAAAUUCUCCAUAUAACUCAUCAUUAAGCAGCUACAGAUUGGACUUUAAAAACAUGUUUCUUUAGAGUGUUUUGUGUAAAUAUAAAUGAGGAAGGUGGAGAGAAUCUCCCGAAGAUGUUAGAUCAGUUAUGAAGAUUCUGAUCAUAUUUCAACUAGACUACUACAUACACAUUUUGGUUAUAGGUGUAAGAUUAACACACAAAAUAAUUAGUUCAUUGUCAACAUAUUUAUAAUUAGUAUAUGUAUUACAUAUAUAUGAUUGCAAUGUAAAAAAUCGAAUCGUGAAUUAUCUGUCUCUAUCUUCUGUUUUUUUUUUUUCUUUUUUUUUUGGUUCAAUAGGAAUAUUGAAUACUUUCAACCACUUACACUUACUCAUAGGGCCAUACAUUGUCGAGUUGAUUGGGUAAUAUACAAAGUCUAAAAAAUUUGGAAAAAGUAAGGAUAAGAAAUGAGUGAAUGUGGUGAAGAUAGCGCAAAUCAUACGACACAAUACGACAUUGUACUUUUGAAAUAUACAAAUGACGACGACGACGUGUACCAUUCUUGAUUAAUACGAUACUAUAAAAAUUUAAUAGGAGAUAUAAUAAUGAAGCUAGAGAUGUAUAAAUUGAUCAUACCAUUGCCUUACGUUAAUCUACUAACCUCGCGAAUCACUUUACUAUUUUCAGUAUAUUUGUGUUUUUUUUCACUUCGAGAUUAUAUAUCAUCGUUGACGACUUAAGACGACGACGAUUGUAACACCGUCGAGUGCUAUAUCAGGAUCUGCUCAAGGAAGACGAAGAGCUCGAGCUAGAGAGAGAGAGUGAGAGUAAAGAGAGAAUAAAGAGAGAGAAGAAAAAGUUUGUUAUGUAUUUCAUUAAUUGUGUAUCGUGUACAUAGUUCAGUAUUUAUACAAAGUAUACUUGAUCGUAUGUAAACUAUAGUGUAUAGUGUAUUAUACAAAUACCUAAGUAUUAAUACACCUGAUACACCUCCUUCAAACCGAACAAUCCAUUUAUGAAGGAUUGUAUAGGUUUGAUAAAGACAUGCGGCCAAGUAACGAGUGAAAUGGCCUCUGAUGUAAUGGUUUUGUCAAGAUGUCAGCUAGUUGAUUGCCAGACUCCACAUGUAAUGUCUUGAGAUUUCCAAGCUUGAUCUGAUCCCUUGUAGUGUGACAGUCGAUAUCUAUAUGCUUUGUCCUCUCGUGGAAGACUGGAUUGGUAGCAAUAUAGAUUGCCGAUUUGUUGUCGCAGAAGAGCUUGGCUGUGGUUGUGACUGGAACUCUGAAGUCUUUCAAUAGUUGUUGUAUCCAUAAGAUCUCCCUGGUUGCUUCUGCCAUGCUUCUGUAUUCAGCUUCAGUGCUGCUAUGGCUAGCCACCUGUUGUUUCUUGCAUUUCCAAGAGAUUAGUGAUUUCCCAAUGUAAACACAGAAACCACUUAUAGACCUUCUUGUAUUGAUGCAUAUACCCCAGUCUGCAUCAGCAAAGGCAUUAAUACACACAUCAUUGUUAACUGGAUAGAAAAGUCCUUGUCCUGGACUGCCCUUGAUAUACUUGAGUAUUCUGUGAGCUGCAGCCAUAUGCACAUCAGUAGGAAACUGCAAGAAUUGACUCAAAGUAUGCACAGCAAAAGUGAUGUCAGGCCUAGUUAUAGUCAAGUAAAGUAGCCGACCAAUCACCUCCCUGUAUGGUGUUGCAGAAUCCAAAGGUGUGCAUGUAUCCUUAGUUAAAUGCACAUAUGGAUCCAUAGGGACUGGACUAGGUUUACAAGCAAGCAAACCAGCAUUCUCCAAUAGAUCUAAAGCAUAUUUCCUUUGGCAAACUGAGAUUCCCUUUGAAGUUCUGGCUAUUUCUAAACCAAGAAAGAAUCUGAGAGAUCCUAAGUCUUUGAUUUUGAAUGCACUAGCUAGAACAGCUUUAAGUGCAGCAAGAUCAUCAGCAUUAUUACUAGCUAUAGCAAUGUCAUCUACAUAAACUAACACUGCUAUAAAACUGGUUGCUGUGAACUUGAGAAACAGUGUAGUAUCUGAGUAUGAUUGAAUGAAUCCAUCUUUCAACAAUACUGAAGUUAUCAAGCGAUUCCACUGUCUAGAGGCUUGCUUCAAGCCAUAUAUUGACUUAUGAAGGCGGCAAACAGCAUUUUGACGUAAAGAAUGGGAAUUACCUGGAGUGUAUCCUUGAGGUAGACUCAUAUAGAUCUCCUCAUCCAAAGUGCUAUGUAGGAAAGCAUUAGAUACAUCCAUUUGUGAUAGUUCCCAGCCUUCUUUUGCAGCCAAGCCUAACAUAAGUUUGACACUGGUUAGUUUAGCCACUGGAGAGAAAGUCUCAUUGAAAUCAACUCCUUCCUGUUGUGUGUAGCCUUUGGCUACUAACCGUGCCUUAUAUCUCUCUACUGUACCAUCAGACUUAUAUUUGAUGGUAAACACCCAUUUGCAGCCAACUACAUUCUUGCCAGGUGGUAGAGAUACUAUGCUCCAUGUUCCAUUAGAUUCCAUAGCCUGUAGUUCAUCAUUGCAUGCCCCUUUCCAUUUAUCAGAUGACAUAGCUUCCUUAAAGGUUUUAGGCUCAGUUUCCAUAGAAUAGGAUAAGAUAUAUGAACAAUAAUGGGGUUUAAAAAGAUCAUAGGAUAAUACUGAUGAUAAUGGAUAAGGUGUUGUAUGGCCUGGGGGAAGAGGUGGUGAAAUAGCUGCUAGAGCACAAUGAUACUCAGACAAGUAACUAGGGGCUUUAGCAGUUCGUUUUGGUCUCACUAUAGAUUUAGAAACUCUAUUAGUAUCUGAUGCAAUCACAGUUGGUUCCUCUAUAAUUUCCCUAGUCUCCCUAUUAUUUAAUGUAGAUGCAGAUGUAUGUGAUGUAUGAGAUGGAGCAAUAUUAGGAAGUGAAGAUGGUGAAUGAUGUGAGGAAGAUGCAUCAGAGAUGAAUGGAGGAGGACUAGGCAAGACAGUAUUAGGGAAAAUAUUAUCUAUAUAUUGUGGUGUAUCAAGAUAUGGAAAAAUAGUCUCAUGAAAAGUUACAUUUCUAGUAAUCGAUACUGUAUUAGUUUCUAUAUCUAGCACUUUGUAACCCUUAUAGCCAGUAGGAUACCCCAAGAAAACACAAGAAUGUGCUCUCGGAGUAAACUUUGUUCUAUCCUUUUGCAAGGUGCUGGCAUAACAAAGACAUCCAAAACUUUUUAAAGAAGUGUAAUCUGGUUUCUUUUUCAUUAAUUUUUCAAAAGGGGAAACAUUAUCAAGCAAAGGAGAUGGCAAACGAUUUACUAAGAAAACAGCAGUAGUAACACAAUCACUCCAAUAUAUCAAAGGCACAUUAGAUUGAAAAAGUAAUGCACGUGCCACAUUUAAUAGAUGUUGAUGUUUUCUUUCUACUACUGAAUUUUGCUGAGGAGUGUAUGCACAAGAAAAGAAAUGAAGCAUGCCAUGUUCCUUAACUAAUUCUUUAAAAGCUAAUUCUGGUGCAUUAUCACUCCUAAUUGCUUUAACAGUUGUUUGAAAUUGAGUAGAAACUAACUUUAGAAAUAAUGGAAAAACUGUAAGAACCUCAUUCUUAUUCUUUAACAAGUAAAGCCAAGUAACUCUUGUACAAUCAUCAACUAUUGUAAGAAAAUACUUAUAACCUUCUAUACACUCUACUGAGAAUGGACCCCAAAUAUCUAAGUGUAUCAAAUCAAAUGGACUAGAUGACAGAUGAUUAUUAAAAGGAAAAGACAGACGCUUUUGUUUAGCUAAGGGACAAAUUGAACAAUGAUCUAGACUUGAUAUAGCUACUUUUGGAAUAGAAAGUGUACCAGACAUAGAUUGUAACUUGGCAGUUGAGGGAUGGCCUAGACGAUUAUGCCAAAGAGUCCCAUCAGCUGACAAGGAUCCAGAGAAAUGAGUGACAGCAGGAGGCUUAGCAGGUGAAGAUAGGGAGUGUAUAUUCAGAAUGUAUAGAUUGUGAAAAAUGUUAGCACUCCCAAUCAUCCAUCCCUGAGAAGACUCCUGUAAAAAACAUGCAGUAGGAUAAAAGUGAGCAGAGCAUUGAUUAUCAUGUAACAAUGUGCUAACACUAAUGAGAUUAAAAUGAAAAGAUGGAACAUGCAAAACAUUGUAAAGAAUCAGAGAAUCAGAUAAAUGAAUUGUUCCAGUAUGUUGAAUAGGGAGUCUAGUUCCAUUAGGUAAAGCAACUGUAAUGUUAGAUACUAAGAAAGUUUCUUGAAAUUUUGAGAUAUCACAACAAACAUGACUAGUUGCCCCACUGUCAAUUAUCCAAGAACCACUAGGCAAAGCAUUUUGAAGUGUAGAAAGACAUUGAUGGUUGUAAGUGAGAUUAUUAUUCUCAUAUCUAAGAUUAGAAGAGAUAGUGGAAACUUUACCAGAUGAAGAUUGAGGAGCCAUGACACCAGAUUCUGUUAUAGUUGCAGAAGAAGAAACUACUGGUUCUGAACUCUGGACAGAAGUGAUCUGAUUAAUCAUAGGUUCAGAAACUUGUACCCGAGAUAACUGUUGUAUAAGAUCUUGUGCUUGUCCUGGAGUCAACUGACUCACAUCCAGAUUUACUGCAUUCAUGGUUGGAGGUGGAUAGUAUAACAUAGGACCACCAUUAUCACCAUUCAUGACUUGCACAUUAGCCACAGUCCUUGGUCUUGGUACAAAACCUUGAUUAUACUGGCCUUGAUUAGUAAACUGUCCCUGAUUUGGAAAUUGUCCUUGAUUCAUUACUGGCACUGGAUUCCUAGGAGCAGUACCCAUCUUGUUACCAUAUGGAACUGGAGUAGACGAAUUCUGAGUCUUGAAUCCUGGAGGAUAACCAUGCACUUUGAAACAAGUUUGAAGAGUGUGUCCCAUCUUCCCACAAUGAGUACACAUCGGUCUAUUAUUCCUUGGUCGAUAUGUGUUAUAAGCUGCAAUAUAUUCAUAUGGUUCCAUUCCAUAUGAACUAUUAUCACCAGUUGCAGAUGCGUCAAAAGAGCUUGAUGCCUGGAAAGCAACAUUAUCAGGCUUUACUGCAGGCUUAACCAUUCGCUGCCUUUCAUCUUGUGCUACCAUAUUAUAUGCUUCUUCUAUACUUGGAAUCGGCUUUAACAUCAGAAUGUGACGCCUAAUCUGCUCAUAACUUUCAUUCAGACCCAUUAAGAAUUUUGUAACUCUACUACGAUGCUGCAUUCCUUCCCACAGAAUAGCCGCAUUGCAUUCACAUCGGCCACAAGUACACACUGGAAGUUCUAUAUAAUUCUGAUAUUCUUCCCAUAAUGUGACUAACUCCGUAUAAUAAGCACUAACAUCCAAAGAACCCUGUUGAAUACAGCUAAGUCUCUGUUCUAUUUCAUACACCCUAGGAGCAUCGUUCUGCUUAAAGCGAGCUAAGAGAUUAUUCCAGAUUCGUUCAGCAGAAGACAUGAAUAAGAGACUAGCACCUAUUUUCUUUGAAACGGAAUUCAUGAGCCAUGUCGAGACCAUAUCGUUACAUCUGGACCACGAGCCAUAAGUCGGAUCCGUUGAAGGAGGUUGAGGUAUCGAACCAUCAACAAAUCCUAGCUUGUUACGAACAUUCAAUCCCAUCCGUACCGAUCUGCGCCAAGAAUGGAAGUCUGCGCCAGUGGUGAGACGAUCUGAGACCAAUUGUAACCCAGCAUGAUCAGUACUAUGCAGAUAGAAUGGAUUAUCAUAUAGAUCUGUAGGCGAUUGAGUUGAUUCUGCCGUAGGACGAACAGGAGGACGAGAAGAAGAUGCCGAAGUCGCCAUUGCUAUGAAGAAACUCUUGACCAAGAAAUCGAGAAAUUGAGAAAGAAAGAAGAAGAAAAACAAGAAAGACUUCAAUCGGUUGUGAACAUGAAUUGAAGAAUCACAAACACGAUUAAACAACAAGAAUCAAGAAUAAAAUGAAGAAGAUGAACAAGAUAGAGCUCAAUCGAAGAAGAACUCAUGAUGAUUCGGAUCGAGAUUGCUCUGAUACCAUAUCAGGAUCUGCUCAAGGAAGACGAAGAGCUCGAGCUAGAGAGAGAGAGUGAGAGUAAAGAGAGAAUAAAGAGAGAGAAGAAAAAGUUUGUUAUGUAUUUCAUUAAUUGUGUAUCGUGUACAUAGUUCAGUAUUUAUACAAAGUAUACUUGAUCGUAUGUAAACUAUAGUGUAUAGUGUAUUAUACAAAUACCUAAGUAUUAAUACACCUGAUAUGCUAUUAAUUAGUAACAACGCACCGACCACCAAUGAGUGCUAGCUAAUUAACAACCAUCGAUCAAGUAUACUUACAUUUUUUUUUUCAGAUGGACCAAAAAAAUAAUCCUUAUAGGUAUUGUUUGAAAAAAAAAAUGAAUUUGCUGAAUUGAUUAGUAAUUCGAGGAAAAUUUUGUUUUAUGGAAAAUAAUACUGUAUAUGUAUGAUUAAACAUUCAUUAUUGUGUAUGAAAACUUUAAAACAUCAUUCUAUCGUAGGUACGUAUUUUAUGUCAUACUUCAAUUUUUAACAUGUUCUGUUCAUCUCUAUCCCUCAUUUGUUUUAGAUGUCUUUUUUUUUUGUUAGGAGGCAUUCAAUUUUAAAUAUACUUUACGACAUUUUUUUUUAUCUAUUCUCAUCUAUCAUCAAAUAAUAUUAAAAUUAAUAAUUAAAAUUUUUUAAGACAUCCACAAUAAAAUUACUGAUGAAUAUAAUAUAGGCUUUCCUUAAAACGAUGACUCUUCCGAUUUAUCUCAAACCAAAUCUCACUGUAAGAUAUAAAAAGUACAGUACCAUACUUGGAGUACCACCAUAUCUAACUGAAGUCAAACUCGAGCUGAAUUUAUACAAAAAGUUCAUUUCAUUUUGGUCAUCAAUUCAUUCAUGAUCCCGCAAGACUAUGAUUUAUAAAAAGAAAUUAUAACUCACAUAAUCAUUCCGACGUUCAAUAGACUAAAUUAACCCAAAAAAAAAAAAAAUUAAACGGGAAAAAUAUAAAGUAAAAAUAGUGAUCAUUUCAUGGAUCAAAACAAUUGGACAAAGAUGAAGAAUUGAUCAUGGCAAUGAAAGGGAAUCCUGAUGAUGCUACUACUGUCUUUAACGGUUUCAUUUCUGUGAUCGGUAGAUAUACAGGCAACGCCUUCCCGUACAAACUCGUUGCAGAUCGAUUCAAUCCCAUGUAAUAAUCUGCGCUCGGUUUCAAAGUUAUAUUUUUAGGCGUUGAAGAUAUUCCAAGACUUAGGUCAAGAUCCUUGUGCUCAUUUCCUGAAACAAUUAUGUUUACGUUUUUUUAGCAAAUCAUGUCGUAAUGUCGAUAUGGCUAAUAUCUACAACAUAAAUACUAUAUGAAGUUGAAUGUAAUAUAUUGAAGUCUAGUAAUGUUUGUGUCAGUGUUGUUGUUGCGUUACAUUUUAGUUUAAAUUCACAUAACAUGUGUAUAUUUUUAUUUUACCAAAACAAAUUAAAUUAUGAAAGAGAAUGAUUCUGAAAGGUAAGGGUAGAUAUAGGGUUUGGUUUAAUAUGCUUAUUUACUACAUGUGUUAAAUGAAGUUUAUGGUUAGGGUUUUGGCUUCAAUUAAAUGACAAUUAUAACGAUGAUUUAUUAUGCAUAUUUAGAAUUGUGACCCUACAUUUAUAAAUUUACCUUUAUUAUGAUGGGCACCCAACUUAAUUUCUCCAGCUUCUAUCUUUCUUAUCUCAUUGCAUUUUGCUGCUGAUGCAUUCCAUUGCCUAUGAGUAUUAUAUAUUAUUCAAACACUGUUACUAAACUUACACAUUAUAUAUGUGAAUCAUAAAGUAUGCGAUAAGAAUCAAACUCAUCACUAGUGAAUAAAUUUAAUUUGUACCGGCGAGAAGAAUCAGAGGGUCAUUGUUAAUAAGUUAUUUAACAAAACAAAAUCAAAAUUUUUAUAGUAAUCGAACCUGUUUUGGAAGAGAUGGAUGUAAUCAUUUUUCAUGUAAUUGUUUUUGUAUUUAGAACCUCCUCUUGCUAAGCUUGCACUCGCUCGUCUAAGGGUUUGCACAAACUCUUCUUUACUUAAGUUCUUCAUCUGUCAUAUAUCAUUCAAAACAUCCACAGUUUUAUAUUAAUCGAUUGUCCAAAUUCUCUAGGUCUCUUAAAAUAUAUAUACACGUACUUAAACCUAAAUAAUUAUAAUUAAUUGACCUAGAUAUUAUAUAUUUGAAACAAUAAGUUUAUAUGAAAAACCUUUUCAAAGUCCUGUUUGUAAUCAUCCACGAUGAAGUUGAUAUCUGCUUGGAGUCCCCGGAAUUUGAUAGCAGCUCGGUCGUAAGCUCUGAUAUAUAUGUUUUUUUUGUUUUUUUUAAAUAGAUAAGUAUUUAUCUAGAAAAUAGAAAAUUAUUUAAAAAAUAUCCAAAAAAAUAAAAGGAAAAGAAGGCCUUAUUACACCUUGCAGCUGUGUAGGCUGUGUCGAAACCACCUGUUUUAAGCAAAAUAAAAAUAAAUAAACAAAAGACAAAACUGAAAAUCUUGCACCAUUUGUUUUUUUUAUUCAGAGUUUUCUUAUCCAAAAAAAGGUGUUUAAUUUAACCUUUAUUAUAAUAAGAAAAUUAAAGACAUAGAAAAUCUCAUUGAUCUACUUACCUAAAUAAACCUGUUUUCCACAGUCCCUACACAUAAAAAUCCCAAAGCCAAGUGUUAUUGAAAAAAGAGAAAAAAAGAUAAAAAUUAAUUUAUAACUUUAGUCUUAUAGACGAAUACCAAAUAUGAGAUUCCCAACGACCGGUUCGACGGUAAAAAGUGACGCCACGAUAGUUGGAGCUUCUGGAUCUAGGGCCACGUCGGCUCUUCUUCUUCAUCACCAACAUUUCUUGUUUAUUCCCUUGCAUCGGCGAAAGAUUCAGCCACUCACUCCCGGCGCCGGAUAAUCCACUCUCCGGAGGAGGAGGAGGAGGCAUAGGAAUGGCUUCGACGUCUUCUUUUCUUUUGAGGAUUCCAAACGUAAUCAAAGACAACUUGUUGGCUGAUGGAUCAAUGGAAUCAUCUUCUUUUUCUUGAUUGAAGAUGGAGGCUGUAGGUACUUUGCAGUCUUCUUCAUCUUCGUUAUGUGUCGACAAGAUUUUGAGGUUGAGGUCCAACAUGAUCAGUCUUUCUUGGAAAGAAGUAGACCUGCGUCGUUUGUGUGAUUAUUCCGGCGACUCUAUAGAGGAAGAGAGAGAGAGAGAGAGAUAGAAGAGAAGAGAGAGAGACUAUAAAUGGGAAAAAUAGAAAAGAACGUGGGACGUGUUCGGUGCAAUUGUCUCUAGCUACACACUUGCCUUUUCUUGCCUACUUUUCAAUCAUCCCUAUUUUUGUUCAUUAAUUGAUUGCUUUAUGUACUUGUUUUUUUCCCGAUUUAUUCAAACAUAUGUAAGAUAUCAUUAUCGAUUAAUUGUUAAAGAUAAAUAAUACUAUAUAUAUAUAUAUUAUAUUACCCAAAAAAAUCUAACUCCAUCUAUUAAUUGGUCGUCGUUCUCACAUGUUUUCAGUUUCUAGGUAUCUUGAAGUUCGAGUAUAACCCAGCUAUGUCCGAAUAUUACAACAUCUUAUGAAUAUUCGAUAUUGAAAAUUUGGUGGUGUACGGAAAUAUAAUCUUGAUGCCCACACCAAUUAAACAUGAGUACAUAUAUAUUUUAAUGUAAACAUAUAAUCUUAUAGUGUGUUAUUUAUUUUUCAGAGAUAUCCGAUAAUAUUGAAAUGACGAUACAUGAGACAUCCGAGUACGGGUCUUUUGCUUGAUAUUAUGAAUUACCGUUCAAAUGCAUAUAUAUUAUUUUCCUAUGCUAUCAACUAGAGUAAGCCAUAUUACUAUUUUCUAAUAUAUAUCAUGCAUCACGUUUUGAGAAAUUAUGAAACUUGUAUAACGAGUGGGCAAUGGGAACAUAAAUGCAAUAUGAGGAAGAUUUUCUUUAAUCUGAUGGUGGACCUGCCUGGACCAAAUCGUUAUGUUUAAUUAUUUGUACACCACAACCAAAACCAAACCAUACCAUUUUUAAUUUUGGUGUGUGAUAGAUUUGUCAAUGAAAACAAUAAUAAUAGAGUGUAAAUGGUGAACGUGUUGGGGACCUAUAAGCGUCGGUCCAAUAAAGCCAACCACCACUUUUUCUGUGUGUGGACGAGAGAGAGAGAGAGAGAGAGAGAGAGAGAGAGAGAGAGAGAGAGAGAGAGAGAGAGAGAGAGAGAGAGAGAGAGAGAGAGAGAGAGAGAUAGUUAACCUUAAUUGAAGAGAGAGUGUGACUUAACUUAUGUCAUCAGGUCCGGUCGUGACAUAAAUAAAACAUUCAGCAAUCACCAUAGUACACUAUUUGUUUAUAUGGACACGUGUAUGACUGAAAUUUCGGACAAGACUGAAUGAUAAGUUUGCGUGCAUAUCUCAGCCGUUCAGCCGUUCGUUUUCUCAAGAUUUGCUGAAAGUACAGAAACCAGAUUUUGUUUUUAAGGAAUCUUUUCUUUUCUUUCUUUUUUUAAUCCGUCCCCUGCGCCCUAAAUCUGGCCUUUCCCUAUAUGGUAAGACGAUAAUCUUGGUUUUUUUUCUUUUUUUCCAUCAACAUGUUUCCUUUCAAUUUGGUAAUAUUGUGAGAAGGAUUAAUUACUAUAUAUGGAAACACAUUGGAGAAAACAAUUAUAUAUCAAAUUUCGAUUUUGGUCACAUUGCAAGAAAGCAAACAAUUAGAUUAUCCCAUUUAUAAGUUUUACAUGUUCAGCAACUACUUAUACAGUAGGAUACUAGUAUGUUACUAGGACGUCUCAGUUCUCAAAAUAUCAUCUCAAGUUUCUUUGAUGUCAAACGGGUUUAAGGAUAGAGUUAAAUAAUGAAAUAGCUCAGAAUUUUGUAAUUCUAUUUAACAUUAACAUCUUUUAAAAUAAGCAUAGUAUAAGACGACAUUAACAACAGAGGUUGUGCUAAACAAAUUAUAUAUAUUCGACUUCGUCAUGCUUCUAAAGCGC